CGCAACUUUCAGUGACUUGUUGAUAUUGUUGACUUUUGGCAUAUCCUUUCUUUGAGUUCAUCUUAACAACUUUUAUCUUUAAAUGAUAGAGGGAAAAUCCCCCCUAGUAUGAUAUAAAUACACACAUAUAUAUACAUAUAUAUAUACGCAUAUUUAUAUAUAUAUAUAUAUAUAUAUAUAUAUAUAUAUACACGCAUAUAUAUAUAUAUAUGCAUAUCAAUUAAGUAAGCUUAGGUGGGAGAAAAUAUUUUGACGUUAUUAUUGAUCACCGAAAGAAAAUUAAUUAUCUGCAUCAAGUUAUUCAAGAUCGAGUUCUAGUGGCACUAUCCAGAGGCUUCUUGGAGAAAUAUUUUAGCUUUGGCGUAUAGAUUUGAGUACUAGCGACCGACAUUAACGUGAUUUCUACUUUCCAGUACUGAUCUGGUGCACGGUGAGCUUGCUGUGAUCCGAGGCUGAUCCUCUUCUAUCAGUUUCAGUUUAGUCUUUUGUACUCGAGACUGCUUGUAUAGGUUGUGCAUGUUUUGAGUUCUUUCUAUUACUCUGGGUAUAUUUUAGUAGUGACUUUAGUACCGACCUUACUAGGUCUUGGGAGGGAUUUAGUUGUAUAUUUUUGGUCCUUUUCCUUCUCUCAUUUUGAUAUA